rnacentral:rRNA from 1 species
UACGGAGGGGGCUAGCGUUGUUCGGAAUUACUGGGCGUAAAGCGCGCGUAGGCGGCUUUGUAAGUUAGAGGUGAAAGCCCGGGGCUCAACCCCGGAAUUGCCUUUAAGACUGCAUCGCUAGAAUCCGGGAGAGGUGAGUGGAAUUCCUGGUGUAGCGGUGGAAUGCGCAGAUAUCAGGAGGAACACCAAUAGCGAAGGCAGCUCGCUGGGACGGUACUGACGCUGAGGCGCGAAAAGCGUGGGGGAGCAAAACAGGG